UACGAAGGGGGCUAGCGUUGCUCGGAAUCACUGGGCGUAAAGGGCGCGUAGGCGGACUCUUAAGUCGGGGGUGAAAGCCCAGGGCUCAACCCUGGAAUUGCCUUCGAUACUGAGAGUCUUGAGUUCGGAAGAGGUUGGUGGAACUGCGAGUGUAGAGGUGAAAUUCGUAGAUAUUCGCAAGAACACCAGUGGCGAAGGCGGCCAACUGGUCCGAUACUGACGCUGAGGCGCGAAAAGCGUGGGGGAGCCAAACAGG
rnacentral:rRNA from 1 species